UGCUGCCUGAGGCACGUUCCUGAGGGGGGCAGCGUUUGGGGGUCACCCCCUUGCUUUGGAGGUCACCCCCUUGCACUGAGGGUCACUCUCUUGCAUUUGGGAUCACCCCUUGUACUGAGGGUCACCCCGUUGUAUUGGGUGACACUCCCUUGCUUUGGGGAUCACCCCCUUGCAUUUGGGAUCACCUCUUUGCUUUGUGGGUCACCCCCUUGCAUUGGAGAUCACCCCUUUGUAUUGGAGGUCACCCCCUUGUAGUGAAGGUCACCCUCUUGCUUUGGGGAUCACUUCCUUGCAUUAGGGGGUACCUCCCUUGCAUUUGGGAUCACCCUCUUGUUUUGGGGAUCACCCCUUGCUUUGGGGGGUACCUCCCUUGCAUUUGGGACCACCCCUUUGUUUUCGGGAUCACCCCUUGCUUUGGGGGGUACCUCCCUUGCAUUUGGGACCACCCCUUUGUUUUCGGGAUCACCCCUUGCUUUGGGGACCACCCUUUUGCAUUGGGGAUCACCCUCUUGCAUUAAGGGUCACCCCCUUAUUUGGGGAUCACUCCCUUGCUUUGGGGGUUUGCCCCUCGCAAGCCCAGCCUUCUCACAGAACCCUCAAGCCUCCACCGCUCGAUUGUAAGGACAAAGAGAGAGGCUGGGACCCCUCUCGCGUGGACCCGUCUACUGUGGUCCUCCAGCAAAGCUGUCUCACACCCGAGUCAGAUUCCUGAGGAUGGCAGUGCUUGGGGAUCAGCCCCUUGCAUCUGGGCGUUCGCCUCUCACAAGCCCAGGGUGCUCACAGAACCCUCAAACUUCAACCAUCUGCCUGUAAGGACAAAGAAAGAGGCAGGGAGCUUUCUUUUUAGGGGAAGACUGAGCAAUAAAAGUCACUGGCACCAAAGGAUGAGUGUCUGUUCUGCAAAAGGCAGCUCUGGAAAUGGCAGCAUCGGGUUUAUCCAUGGGCAGCCUGUGCCACUGGGAAACAGUGCCAAAAAUUUCAGAUGCCGCCAUAGUGCUUUCGAGACAGUAUUGCCUUGUGUGAUGUGUAAAAGCAAAAAGAUAAACCAGGAUAACUGUGAGAGAAGCGAGUACAUUCACAGGAGCUUCUCCUUUAUUUGCUGCAGCUUCUCCCCAGCCCCAAUUCUUGCUUUUCACUAAUCUGAACUGUCAUUCAUCCCAAAGUUUGCAUGACAGAGCUGUUGUGCGUGCACCAUUAGAAAUACUUUGCACUGGGUGUUCCCCAUGUUAAAACUAUCUGCUCUCCGAAAAAGGAAUAGCAUUGUGAGCAAGCAGCAGCCAGCAGCUGAAGUGACCUUCGAGGAGCAGAGAGAGUUGAGCUCCAGCAGGCUCCAAAAUGUGGGUUUAAAGGAAUAGUAAAUAGAUUUGCAGCCAGGAUUGUUAGUAAACGUAAGAAAAAUGAGAGAAAACCAGACAACAAAUCAUCCGUGGGAAAAAAUGCAGACAGCUGUAGUUUUGACAAGAGUGCUUCAGAAGGAAACUCUCCAGCUUUCUGUUUACAUAUAUGCAAAUUUUAUGUAAUUCAGUGCUGAGGCUUCCCUAAUAACACAGGGAGCCUGCUUUUUGAUAUUCAGUAGGAUCAGUUCCUCUACUCUUUUGGUUUCCGCAGCCCUGGUCUUACUGAGCAGCAGAGAGGGACCAGGACACCUUCCUCCCCCCAGCUCCAAAGCCCGUGAGUGAUGCUACGCAUGCAGACUAAAGAGCAUGAAGGCUUCUUCUGUUGCUUGGAAGACAUGUGAAGCUUCAGGUUUUAAACUUCAAAUCCUGUUUUUACUUCAGAAGUUGAUUGCAUAAGCGGACAGUGAAUGAGUGUCUCUCCAUUUCCCUUGCGGUCAGAGAAGAUCCUAUUCAUACUGAGUUUACAAGCAAACACUUCCUUUGCCUGUACUGGAUCUGAAGAAGCUCCUGGGGGAGAUGAAGAUUACCUAAAAAGAUGUCACGAAGGCUCAUCAGUAAGCUCAGAGGAGGCACUGUUUCUGGAAAAUCCAAGGCAGCCAUAUUAAUCCAUCUUAACUAUCAUCACCCACAACGCUUUGCACUGCCUGAAAUGCCUCUGCUGAAAUGGCCUCUGGGAUGGUCAAGAAGACUCAGCUGUCUGCAUGUCAUGGUCUUUACUCCAGCACCAUCUCUGCUGCAGUCACUGCUGUGGGCACCGGCCGGGGACCUGCUUGGGGCUGCACCUCCCGCUUUGCUCCUGCCCUUGGUCACCAGCCCAUGGCCCCAACAGCCCCCUCAGAAAUGGAAUACUUCUAAAGCAAUGAAUCGUUCGAGCAAGUAAUAACGCCUAAUUCCUUCUUCCCUUGAAGACAAAGCACAAUAAAAAAGGUCAGUAUUACCACUGUGACCAUUUCACUGGUGGAAAACUAAGGCACAGGGCAGGAAUACAACCAGAGGCAGAAGUACUUUUUGUGUGCUAGACUGUUGUCUUUCCCAUUAGAUCACACUGCCUUCCCCUGAGUAACUAAGGCUGUGAAUAGUUUCCAAAUACAUUCUUAGUGAACGCAUCAGUUCCAUGCUAAAAGCAAAAAGUACAAUACAAAAACCCAUAUCUUGCACAAUAUCUGGUUGUUUAUUUUGACAAAACUAACACUUGCACUGAAGAACACCCGAACGUUUUCUGGUAAGUCAUAUUUAUAAAAUAAUGUUCCUUCGCUAAAUUAUAUGAAAAAAGAAAAACAAAAUGAACAUUUAAUAUCAUAUGGAAACAAGUUAAGAAAUAAAACUCACAGGUUGGUUGUUUUUGUUUUAAGAGGAACUUACAGAUCUGCCACUGCUCAAUCAUAAAAGUGCAAGGUUUUCAUUUAGACUAAGGCAGAGUGACAUACUGCAUGUGUGUGUAUUGAGACACUCUGCAUAAACUCUGCUGUGCACACGGAGCAGAUCCUCACUAUAAUAAUCCUCAGUAAGCUGUUCCCUAAAACAAAUAAAAAAUGUUGCUAAUCCCAAUUUAUACAGCAUCCUCCAAAACAAUGUCACGGGGGUCUUGUGCAGCCAAACAUAACACUAUCAUCAGUCAGGAACAGCUGAACAGUUAUUUUUCUCAACCUGUCCUGUGAUGUAAGAUUAGGCUUCUUCAAUGGCAGUCAGUAGAAAAAAUCUAAUGCUAAAGCUCUGAGCUAUAAAUACUUAUGGAUUAUAACUGCAGCAGCCUAGUAGCUUCUGAUGGUAAUUAGUAGUUGAUUUUAAAUCUGAUCAAUAUUUAGUUUAAAUCUCUUUCUGCAGAUUCUCAUUUGACAGGAUUGUAAAUGGCAGAGUGCAUCUUCAUUAAUGCUACAUGUAUCAGAGUAUCAUCUCCAUUCUAUAGGUGACAUUUAUAUAACAUUUCAGCCUUCACCUUGACAUUUUGCGUGAUAAGGAUAAAAGACAAUCUGGAAAUGACUGCGCUUUAUGGCAAAUGUGCUGGGAAGACUAUGAGGGGCUUAACUAAGGUCAAGCACAAGGCAAAGUCUUUUAAACCCUCAAGGUCUCUCCAUGUCUACACUUUUCUCUCCAGAUCAGAUUUAAUAGCGUAGUGAAGUGGGACAGAAUGCACACAGCAGCAAAAACUAGAACAGCUACAGGACAAGCAGAGCAAGGGAAGCUAAUGUUGAAUGGAUGGGACAGCAUUUGCAGUGUCACCUGUGCUUCGUAACAAGGAUAACAAGCACACACCUAAAUCACAUGGCAUUCUGCACAAUCUUCAUCUUUCUAGCAAAGCACUUAAUGUUAUGCUUGCUAUUUUAUAGUUAUUACUAGGAUGGAGAAGCAUUAUAGUUGUCCUCUUAAGAACUUCCCUCGCACUUUUUGGCUGGCACACCAGCUCUUGCAGAAACAUACAAUCCCUAUGUGUAUGCUGAGAAAGAUCAAGAUUUUAUACCUUGAAAUAAACAGCUGAAUAUAAGUGAAACAAUCAAACUACAGCAAUUAAGGAAGGAAACCAAAACUGAAUAUAACAGAGCUACACUAAGGAAUCACCAUUUCAAAACAAUGGAGAUAUGGCACAGGCUGGUUUUACCAAUGCCCCUUUCACAUCAGAAAUCAAACACAGCCCCACAACCCAGAAUUUAGGUUAGAUCAAAAUUACUGAGACUCUCUGGUUUGUACAGGUAAGUAAGAUUCCUCCGUUUCUACACAUUUGGCAACAGCUAGUAAAAAUAUGUGGGAAUUGGGUUCAGUCAUUGGGAAGGAAUGGAAAAACCUUUAAGGACAUCAAUAUAUAAAGAAGGCCUACAAGAAAGAUGGAGAGAGACUUUUUAUCAGAGCCUGCAGUGACAGGACAAGGGGCAAGGGUUUAAACUGAAAGAGGGUAGGUUGAGAUUCGGCAUGAUGAAGACAUUCUUUAUAUGAGAGUGGUGAGACACUGCAACAGAGAAGCUGUGGAUGCCUCACACCUGGAAGUGUUGGAUGGGGCUUUGAGCACUUUGACCUAGUGGAAGAUGUCCCUGCCUAUGGCAGGGGUUUAGGACUAGAUGAUCUCUACAGGUCCCUUGAACCCAAACCAUUUUAUAAUAUUUUGCUGAUUCCAAGCUUUUAUUGGCAGGGACCGGCACUGGCAGUUACAGCUCUGUGGCAUCAAAUACUACCUUGAUACAGUGCACAUGCCAGUCCUGGAACAUGUAACACAAUUUAGAGAACUAUUUGUUAGAUUAAGAAGCUGAAAAGUACUUUUAGUAAAGACCAGGAAGGACCUAGAUCCUUAAAAAAAAUGCAACAACAGAAAAUGCUAGUCACAGACAAUCCUUAAAUCCUUAAAAAAAUACAGCAUCAGAAAAUGCUAGUCACAGUUAUGCUCUUGCCAUGACAAAACACACUCAGCCUUACGCUGAAAAACUGCUGCAAUCAUUCACUUCCUAGAUAUAUCUUGCUGUUUUUUUCAUUGCAAAGCUGAUUGGUGGUACAGCAUAAAGUAUCAAAAGGCCUCUUCAGAGGGCACAUACUUUAAUAAAAAAUAAUUCCAGCCAUGCAGUACAGGGGAAUCUGGAAAACAGCAGCGAGUCGCCUGCUGAUUUUGUAAACAUAGGAAAUGAUCGGUUUGAAACUUUCAGCUGCUUGAGGUGCUGUCCGCCCAUACAUGACAAACCUAACAGCGAAGAGUCACCAUGUUAGUGACACCCACAGGUAUGUGGAAAGGGCAGUCAUUUAGCAGAAGCAGAGCUCCUUGGGAAGUGACAGUCUUUGCAAUCACACAUUCCUGGGUUACUACAUUUGGCCCCUGGCUUGUACAGCACAGAGCUUGAAACCAGGAGCUCGAUUAUCACUGACAAUACCAAUCUGGAAUUUCAGGAAUGGGUUGUAGUGGGUCCCGGGAAGCAAAUAGCAUUUAUGAAGUGAAGCAGCACUCUAUACCUUUGCCAACUGAGAAUGUUGUGUUGCUCUGAGAUGUUGCAAGAGCAUGCAAGCAGUGUGGGAAAAGUGCACACAGAGCUGGUGCAGUAGGAACUACAAAUGGCACCAAGUCAUUUACUGGGGGGGGCACAACGACAGGAAAGCGUAUGGAAUUCCACACCACUCAGCACCUGAAAAUACUCUUUAGCAAAUUAUUAAACAAUUUGACUGUAAGCAGCUCAAGGGUAGCAAGAUAGUAAGAGGCAGCCAAUAUGUUUCUUGCCAGAUCAAAUCAUGCCAAACUGAUCUAACCUGCUUCUCUGAUAGAUUAACUGUCUCUACUGGACGAGAGAAGCAAGGUAACAUACAUAUUUAUAUAUAUAUAUAUAUAUGUAUGCUGAUUUUAAACAUAGCUUUUGAUGUUUUUCAGAUUACAUUCUUCUAAGCAAACUAAAGAAGUUAGUAUGGAUCUUCACCCAGACCUGAGAGACAACACACAAAUUAAGCUUUCUUCUGGUUACAGUUUCUUUUUUUCUACAGCAGAUCACUGGUGAAACAAUCCUUACAGUAAAAACCAUAACAGCGAUCAAACAAGAUUGUACAAGACACUACACACUCAUGAAAAAGCAAUUUCUCGCAUUGCAGAGGUACAGCCUAAACAAUCAGGACAGACAAGGGAAAUAUCUUAACCAGCACUGUCAGAGAUGGGAAACUGAGGCAGAAAAAGAUUAAGAGCCCGAUUUUCAAAUGAGCUCAGCAUAUUUGUUGCUGAGCUCGCUUGGAAUUCUGGCCAUAACCAACAUCAUGAAAAUCACUAGAUAUUGAGCUCCUUUGAAAAUCAAACUUCAAUAUGAAAAUUUGGCCCAGAGGUCUUUUGAAAAUCUACAUCAAGAGGCUCACCCAAGGUCACCCAGGAAGUCGGUGGCAGGGCUGGGAGCUGAACUUACAUCUGACUCCCACUCUGGUGCAUAACUAAUGUCGCUCUGUGUUCUGUUUUAAUUAGCCACAGGGAGAUCUCAAACCAGAGAAUGCUUUUGAAAUGAAAGAAAAGAAAACCCUUGCCAGUGCAUUCAGUUUCCUUUCAGAAGCCUCAGCACAAUGGGAUACUAGCGACUCACAAGCAGUAGGGAUUUCUGGCUUCUUUAACAAGCUUCUGUUUUCCUUGGAGAAGAUAAAUUGUUUGUUGUUUACAAUAUAUAAAGGGAUUCACUGCAGAAUUGUUCAUUUUUUCUCUAAUACUUUUUUUUGGACUUGCACUAUGUGUCUGACCCAUACAAAUAUUUUUCCAGUGACAAAUGAGGAUAGAAAAAGGAAGCCUGCAGAGUGCAAAGGCUCUAAGGAUUAGUAGACAACCUCUGGGGCAAGGAGUGGAGACUUGUGCUAUUGCUUAUUAUUACUACAUUUUUCCCUAGGUAGAAAGAGUUGUUUGAAGUGGUUUCCCUGCUAAUGCAGUGGCAGAGCAAACUAUUUACUUUGCAUGUAUAUGUGGUUGCUUCAGUACCUCUCUUGCAGUUCCUGUGGAACACCUAAGAUGCACAGUUUUCAGCAGUCCAGAAGUUCUUUCUGGAGAGACUAGAGUCUCCAUUUUUCCUCUGGCUUUGGCAGCAUCCAGAGGCCUCUAAGCACCUUCCCUGACAAAUUUUUGUUGGAGAACUACUAAAGCCAUCUCAAGAACAACAGAAUACAAAAUGCUAUAACAAAGGUGGGAACCAAGGCAAAGCUAGAGUAGGCAUCUGUAGCAGCUUCUUUUAGCCCAAUGCACUUUGCUACAACUUAGAUGUGGCACUAUUUUCUCAAAGACAGAAAAAUAGGUUAGUAUUUCUAUUCAUAUUUUUGCUAUCAAAAGCUUUAGCCUACUUUCCUGGAAAAGACUAUACAGGUUGAUACGUCAGAACAGCUCUUCAAAAGUAGGAGCAGGUCAUUUCCUCAGCUCUCUGACCCUGAUACGCUGUCUAUGAUCACAAGGGUCUUCUGAAUUCGCUUUGUUGUACACUGGGAAUCUCACUGAUAAAAGCCAGUGAGAAUUUUACUCAGUUUUCCUCAGUCAGAAAGCUACUUCAUGGAUAGAAAUGGAAAUUCUGGCUCAUGCUGAUGGCUGGAGAUUUCAUAAAAGAGGCGCUGCUGGGUUCAUUAUUCCCAGAUUUCUGUCAAGGGUAGAAAAAUGGCUUUCUUCCCGCUUUCCAACUUUCAGUCUUCUCGUACUACUUCAGUGUUAUUUUCAAAUCUGCUGCCUACUUCAGGGCGUGUUCUUCUUGAGCUCAGAACAGUAUCUUCCUUCUCUGUCAAAAGCACCUUCACUUUUCUUCUUCAGAACUUUCAUUACUACAAGUUUAUGUGUCCAGCCUCAAAGCUGUGCAAGUUUUAAAACAACUUUAUCUAGAAAAGUCAAGAAACAGUUCACUAAAGACAAAACAUAAUAGGCACGUGAAGCAAACAGAUGGUGGAGUGAGAGAGAUGCUGUACAAGCAGUAUGCUUGUUUCUACAUAUUAGUUGGGCAUACAGUUUCUACUUACAGAGCAUUUUUAGGGUUUUUUUAAUCAGUAAAAAUAUAUUAUUAGCUUUGGUUUAGCACUGCUUCAAGGAUUACUAGCAUUUCUACAAUGGAAGUCAUUAAAAGGGGUGGUGGUGAGGGAAGCAAAUCUAUUUUACACGGCUCCCUUCCUUCUGGAGAGUGUUUCUCAUGUAAGGAAUGACACAAGAAAAAGCAAAGGUAUGCUUAGAGGAAAAUAAGUGAAGCUGACGGUCGAGGUCAGCAGUGCUGCCCAAGCAGAGGGGAAGUGGGUGACUCCAUCAAGUCGCACAGCAUUCAACUGGGUGCGGCAGCAGUCUGAAGGUCCUCACAGGUAAAGCAUGCCCAGAGCCUACUCCUGCACAAGUCCUAUCUGUUGAGUUCUUUUUUUCCAUCUUAUCUGUCUCUUUUCAUUCCACACCCUCCUUUUCUUGUAUGGCUUUGUCAUUGUCUUGUCUUGCUUAUCUUUGAUCGCAAGCGUUCUGGGGUAGGGAAUGCAUCUUCAUACAGUAAAAAGGCAGUGCAUUUAUGGCACUAUAUGCAUAAUUCAUAAUAAUUCACUCAGUAUAUAAAGUGAAACUUCUCAAAUAAGCAUUAAAAAUAGGUUGCCUAGAAGAGGGGAUCUCUUCAGUUAAUUAAAAACAUUACCAAAAAACUUGGGGUUAACCUUAAAGUGUAUGCUUAAAACAAACCACGGCCACUGUUAAACAUGCAGGUUGCACAUGUUCCGGAAUGCUGAUUGAGCAUGGUUAUGUGGGAUCAUCCGACAUCUUUGCAAGCUGAUGAAUCUGAAUAAUUAAGCUGUCCCUCAUUACAGGUCUUCAAAGCACAUUAAUCAGGUAUCCACAAGAGUAAAGUUCACUCCACAGACUAGAAUACAUCUUUGACUAAUUGGUUGUUUUCAUCAGCUGGAUUUGGUAAACUGAGGCUGCAUUUGAGAUAUCAGUACUGGCCACAUACACUAUUAUAUGCUGCCAUUAAAGUUAUGCAUUCUGCUGUCUGCAUAGUGACCCAGCAACAGAUCUUAAAAUGUGAGGUG